rnacentral:rRNA from 1 species
UACGAAGGGUGCAAGCGUUACUCGGAAUUACUGGGCGUAAAGCGUGCGUAGGUGGUUUGUUAAGUCUGUUGUGAAAGCCCCGGGCUCAACCUGGGAAUGGCAAUGGAUACUGGCAGGCUAGAGUGCGGUAGAGGGUAGUGGAAUUCCGGGUGUAGCGGUGAAAUGCGUAGAGAUCGGGAGGAACACCAGUGGCGAAGGCGGCUACCUGGACCAGCACUGACACUGAGGCACGAAAGCGUGGGGAGCGAACAGG